GCGACUUACGUUCAGUAGCGAGCUUAACCGAAUAGGGGGAGGCGUAGGGAAACCGAGUCUGAUAAGGGCGCCUAGUUGCUGGACGUAGACCCGAAACCAAGUGAUCUAUCCAUGGCCAGGAUGAAGGUGCGGUAACACGCACUGGAGGUCCGAACCCACUAAUGUUGAAAAAUUAGGGGAUGAGCUGUGGAUAGGGGUGAAAGGCUAAAACAAACUUGGAAAUAGCUGGUUCUCUCCGAAAACUAUUUAGGUAGUGCCUCAAGUAUCACCGGACGGGGUAAAGCACUGUUAUGGCUAGGGGGGUCAUCGCGACUUACCAAACCAUUGCAAACUCAGAAUACCGUUGAGUGCGAGCUUGGGAGACAGACAUCGGGUGCUAACGUCCGGUGUCAAGAGGAAACAACCCAGACCGCCGAUUAAGGUCCGAACGCCACUAGUUAAGUGGGAAACGAGGUAGGGAAGGCUUAGACAGCCAGGAGGUGGCUUAGAAGCAGCCAUCCUUAAAG
rnacentral:rRNA from 1 species